AAUGUGAGAGUCCCCUGGAAGACAACCAGGUUGAUAGGUCGCAUGUGUAAGGUCGGUAACGAUUUUAGCUAAGCGAUACUAACGGACGAAUGCUUGAUCGC
rnacentral:rRNA from 1 species